rnacentral:rRNA from 1 species
AGAGUUUGAUCCUGGCUCAGAACGAACGCUGGCGGCGUGGAUAAGACAUGCAAGUCGAACGCUGACAUUCAGGUAGCAAUAUUUGGAUGUCGGAGUGGCGCAAGGGUGUGUAACACGUGGGCAAUCUACCGUGAAGCCUGGAAUAACUCGCUGAAAGGCGAGCUAAUACCGGAUGUGAAAACUGGAUGGCAUCAUCUGGUUUUCAAAGUUGGGGACCGUAAGGCCUGACACUUCUCGAUGAGCCCGCGGCCUAUCAGCUAGUUGGUGAGGUAACGGCUCACCAAGGCUAAGACGGGUAGCUGGUCUGAGAGGACGACCAGCCACACUGGAACUGAGACACGGUCCAGACACCUACGGGUGGCAGCAGUCGAGAAUUUUUCUCAAUGGGCGAAAGCCUGAAGGAGCGACGCCGCGUGGGGGAUGAAUGGCUUCGGCCCGUAAACCCCUGUCAUUUGCGAACAAAUUAUUUAACCUAACACGUGAAGUAUUGAUUGUAGCAGAAGAGGAAGGGACGGCUAACUCUGUGCCAGCAGCCGCGGUAAUACAGAGGUCCCGAGCGUUGUUCGGAUUCACUGGGCGUAAAGGGUGCGUAGGCGGUCGGGUAAGUCUGAUGUGAAAUCUCCAAGCCUAACUUGGAAACUGCAUCGGAUACUAUCCGGCUCGAGGAAUGGAGGGGAGACUGGAAUACUUGGUGUAGCAGUGAAAUGCGUAGAUAUCAAGUGGAACACCAGUGGCGAAGGCGAGUCUCUAGACAUUUCCUGACGCUGAGGCACGAAAGCCAGGGGAGCAAACGGGAUUAGAUACCCCCGUAGUCC